rnacentral:lncRNA from 1 species
UGGGGGAUGGAGUCUUGCUCUGUUGCCCAGGCUAGAGUGCAGUGGUGCGAUCUCGGCUCACUGCAACCUCCACCUCCUGGGUUUAAGCAAUUCUCUUGGCUUAGCCUCCUGAGUAGCUGGGAUUACAGGCACACGCCACCACAACCAGCUACUUUUUGUUUAGUAGAGACAGGGUUUCGCCAUGUUGGCCAGGCUAGUCUUGAAUUCCUGACCUCAAGUGAUCCAUCCGUCUUGGCCUCCAAAAGUGCUGGUAUUACAAGCGUGAGCCACCAUACCCGGCCCAUUUAUUUAUUUUAGAGACAGGGUCUCACUAUGUUGCCCAGGCUGGUCUUGAACUUCUGGGCUCAAGUGAUCCUCCUGCCUCAGCCUCCCAAAGUGCUGGGAUUACAGGCGUGAGCCACUGCACCCAGCCCAGAUAUUUAUUUUUGAAUGAUGCUAGGCUCUGAGGAUGCAAAGGUUGUUUCAGUUGUUAUUCCUGCUCUGCAGGAGUUCCCAGUCCAGGAGGAGAUAGUGGCAGGAGUGACAAACUAUGCCCCAGAAAGCCAGGAAAGGCUCCUCUGGCAAGUGACGUUGAACUAGGACUUGAAGAUCAAGUAGGAGUUCACCAGGCAGACAGGAUGAGGUUAGCUGGGAUAUUUCAACAGCAUGGACAACAGGGCAUGAGAAAAUGGGAAGAGAGAAUGGGCAAGGGGUCAUCGAUGGACCGGAGAUGGGAUGGUAGGGACAGAAACUGCAGGGUCCGCAGAAGGAACUGCUCACCGAAAGCCAACAAGCUUGCCCUGUGGAAUCCCAGAAAGGCCCAGGAACUUCGGGACAUCACUGAAGGCAGAGUGAAGAGAGGAAGAGAAGACAGAGAAAUGGAGGGGAGAAAACUAUUAAAAUAAGUAAUAAGAAAACUUUCCCCAGAAGUGCAGAAUCUGAAUUUCCAGUAUAAAAGGGUCCAUUGAGCGCCAAGAACAAUGAAGGAAAAAAGGUCCCACUCAGGCCUACGUAUCAUUGUGAAAUUUCAGAACUAGAGGGAUAAAGAAAAGAUCCUAAAAGCUUCCCGAGAGAUAAAAAAGAAGAUUUUUACAAAGGAUCAGCAAUCAGAAUUGCCUCAGACUGCUCAAUAAAAACAUCAGAA